rnacentral:rRNA from 1 species
GACCUGAGAUCAGGCAAGACCACC